CCAGUUACAAAAUUACUACCUACUUUUUAUUUACUACAGAAAAUUGGCCAGUAUCUGAACUACACCAGAAAACAGCUUAAAAUAGCACCAAACAAAAGCUUAAA